rnacentral:rRNA from 1 species
GGCCUGGGCGGCAGGUCUACACAUGCAGUCGAGCGGUAGCACAGAGAGCUUGCUCUCGGGUGACGAGCGGCGGACGGGUGAGUAAUGUCUGGGAAACUGCCUGAUGGAGGGGGAUAACUACUGGAAACGGUAGCUAAUACCGCAUAAUGUCGCAAGACCAAAGUGGGGGACCUUCGGGCCUCAUGCCAUCAGAUGUGCCCAGAUGGGAUUAGCUAGUAGGUGGGGUAACGGCUCACCUAGGCGACGAUCCCUAGCUGGUCUGAGAGGAUGACCAGCCACACUGGAACUGAGACACGGUCCAGACUCCUACGGGAGGCAGCAGUGGGGAAUAUUGCACAAUGGGCGCAAGCCUGAUGCAGCCAUGCCGCGUGUGUGAAGAAGGCCUUCGGGUUGUAAAGCACUUUCAGCGGGGAGGAAGGCGAUAAGGUUAAUAACCUUGUCGAUUGACGUUACCCGCAGAAGAAGCACCGGCUAACUCCGUGCCAGCAGCCGCGGUAAUACGGAGGGUGCAAGCGUUAAUCGGAAUUACUGGGCGUAAAGCGCACGCAGGCGGUCUGUCAAGUCGGAUGUGAAAUCCCCGGGCUCAACCUGGGAACUGCAUUCGAAACUGGCAGGCUAGAGUCUUGUAGAGGGGGGUAGAAUUCCAGGUGUAGCGGUGAAAUGCGUAGAGAUCUGGAGGAAUACCGGUGGCGAAGGCGGCCCCCUGGACAAAGACUGACGCUCAGGUGCGAAAGCGUGGGGAGCAAACAGGAUUAGAUACCCUGGUAGUCCACGCCGUAAACGAUGUCGAUUUGGAGGUUGUGCCCUUGAGGCGUGGCUUCCGGAGCUAACGCGUUAAAUCGACCGCCUGGGGAGUACGGCCGCAAGGUUAAAACUCAAAUGAAUUGACGGGGGCCCGCACAAGCGGUGGAGCAUGUGGUUUAAUUCGAUGCAACGCGAAGAACCUUACCUGGUCUUGACAUCCACAGAACUUUCCAGAGAUGGAUUGGUGCCUUCGGGAACUGUGAGACAGGUGCUGCAUGGCUGUCGUCAGCUCGUGUUGUGAAAUGUUGGGUUAAGUCCCGCAACGAGCGCAACCCUUAUCUUUGUUGCCAGCGGUUAGGCCGGGAACUCAAAGGAGACUGCCAGUGAUAACUGGAGGAAGGGGGGGAUGACGUCAAGUCAUCAUGGCCCUUACAACAGGGCUACCACGUGCUACAUG